UACGAAGGGGGCUAGCGUUGCUCGGAUUGACUGGGCGUAAAGGGCGCGUAGGCGGUUCGUACAGUCAGACGUGAAAUUCCUGGGCUCAACCUGGGGGCUGCGUUUGAUACGUGCGGGCUUGAGUGCGGAAGAGGGUCGUGGAAUUCCCAGUGUAGAGGUGAAAUUCGUAGAUAUUGGGAAGAACACCGGUGGCGAAGGCGGCCUGCUGGGCAGUUGCUGACACUGAGGCGCGACAGCGUGGGGAGCAAACAGG
rnacentral:rRNA from 1 species